rnacentral:lncRNA from 1 species
GGUGGGGGGAGAGGAAGACUACCUCAAAAGGCCAUUAAUUUCAACAAUCCAGACACUUAAGGAUUUAGUAUUGAAUUAGCUUGAUAUUUUGAUGAUUAUUUAUGGCUAUUGGAAAUAAAAAAUUAACUAUUAAAUAUAAAAUAUGUAUGUAUCUAACAAAAACGACAACAACAACAAGCUUACCAAUGAAGUAUUAACAACAGCCAAGCCAUUGCAGAAGGAAAGAGGUGUGUAAGGGAAGGCACAGCAAGAGAUACCACUGCAGACAGACAAAGAACAAAAGGAGAUGGGAAGUUGAGAAGAAGUGAGGAAGAGUGCACAAUGGGAUCAUGUUAAGCCCCGGCAAUGGGAGUCCUAGCCUGGUUGGUGUGGAGGGGCCAGAUGAGUGAGUUAGGGGGAACCAGAUACAACAUUUCUGGAAGAAAUAAUGGUGAAACUUAAAAUGUGACAAAAGGAUCAAGUUAAAGCUUAAUAAGAUUCAGCAUAACUGUCAGUCCACUUUCUGCUGCUGUAACGAGACCGGAGACUGAAUAAAUCACAAAAGACCUACUCUGACUUAGUUUUCAAGACUGGGAAGUCCACGUGAAUAGUGUUUCCUGCUGCACAGUAACCCUGGUGAGCACAUGGCCUGUUGAGCAAGAGUGUGGCUAAGUGGGAUCCCUCUUAGAACGCUUCACACCCAGAGCCUUCUGUAAUCCUAAGGACCUCCUAGAGCUCCUGCCUCUGCCUCUGCCUAGCAUGAGAAUCUGAGGAUUCUUUCCUAUUGUGAAAUUUUAAGGGACCUAUCUAAACCAUAGCAUUAGCUCAAGCAGAAACAAAAGGACCUGUAGACAUUUAAAAAUGUUAAGCCUCAAGGGUAAGAUUUGAGAUGCUUUGCUUUGUCUUCUUCCUGAUUAAACACAGGACCCAUGGGCCGCCUGGUGCAGCUGGCUUUCUGGGUCUAUGAAGAAGUCUCUACCAGACCCAUGAAAGGAGCUUGUUUAGAGCAGAUUUUAAUUAUGCUUAAUUUUAGAUAAUUAAAAAAUGUUUCUCUGUACAUUUGUUAGAAACACUGUAGCAUUUCAACAACUUGGUUCUGCCUUUUCAACUGCUAAGUUUGUAAAUAAAUAUAUUUUCUCUGUGU